GGCCGUCGGGAUAGGCCGACAUUAUAUAUUUUUUGAUAUUUUAUUUUUAUUUUAACACCUUAUUAUAUUCACAGUUACAAUUUUACACUAAUGUUAUAUAUAUAUAAUCGAUAGAUUUUGACGAGAGCUA